UCCCUGGUGGCUCAGACAGUAAAGCGGCUGUCUGCAAUAUGGGAGACCCAGGUUCGAUCCCUGGGUUGGGAA
rfam:Ovis aries breed Texel chromosome 6, whole genome shotgun sequence.